rnacentral:rRNA from 1 species
GACGUAGGGCGCGAGCGUUGUCCGGAUUUAUUGGGCGUAAAGAGCUCGUAGGCGGCUUGUUGCGUCAGUUGUGAAAACCCGCAGCUCAACUGUGGGCUUGCAGCUGAUACGGGCAGGCUUGAGUUCGGUAGGGGAGACUGGAAUUCCUGGUGUAGCGGUGAAAUGCGCAGAUAUCAGGAGGAACACCGGUGGCGAAGGCGGUUCUCUGGGCAUUACCUGACGCUGGAGGAGCGAAAGCGUGGGGAGCGAACAGG